GGAGGGAUGGCAGAGUCUGGUUUAUUGUAACGGUCUUGAAAACCGUCGUGCCUUCAUCGGCACCGUGGGUUCGAAUCCCACUCCCUCCGCCA
rnacentral:tRNA from 5 species